UUUUUGCUCCACAUAUGCAUGCUUUCUACGAUUCGGAGAUCAGUGCAGCCCAAAGAUCACAUUGGAUUCUCCUCACUACACUCCAUCUUCUAACCUAGUCUGCAUCACGGCUAGGUGCAUCCGUUGCCAAGUUCAUCCAAUAUAUGCCAACCGCAUUGCAAGGACGACCAUAUGCACACACACACACCACAGUCCACAGGAGACAGAUAGCUAGCUAGCUUACUCUUUAGUCAUACAUACACUUAUAAAUAGCCACCGGCUCUGUGCUCAUCAGCAAGGCAGAUUAAACAAGUGAAGUGGUCCACAUCAAAAAUGAAGUAAUCAGGUCUAGGGAGUCAAAAUUUGGUUGGUUGUCCACUGGAGUUCUCCUCAAUCCACUUCAGUAGAUAGCUAUGGCUAGGCCUCGUUGCAUUGCACUGUUACAUAACUGUGAUCAUGGGGCCAAAAGCUAGCUAUGUAUAGUGAAGUGCUUGGGGGAACUCCAGUUAACACUCAGCAUUCUCAAGUUAGGUAUGUAAGUGUUUGUACUUUAUGAAUUUGUAAGUGACAGAGAAUGAUUAGGUUUGGAGUCCCUAGGAGCUCCUUUCAAGCACUUUACGACACACUGUAUUGAGAGUUGUCGUGAAGUGUUUGGGGGAACUCUUAGUG
rnacentral:precursor_RNA from 1 species